rnacentral:lncRNA from 1 species
UCUCGAUUUACACUUUCUUCUUUCGUCAGGACAAUGGCUUAAACUUCAUACUUAUUUGAAAGAAAACUUAAAUUCUUGAUAAAUUUAUGCCCUCGUGAAGAUUUGAUGCUUAAAAUUCAUGGUUUACACGCUUAUAUAAACCCUAUAGUGAUUAGCGUUAAGGGAUCGAAUCCGCCAAACGGAAGCGUAUUUUUAAAUUUUCUGAUCUUAGGUCCAUGAAAAAUUACACGUUGAUUAGGAAGGUUAGGGAUUACCUUGAAUAUCACGAAGAAAUUCAAGGGCUGAAACCCACAGCUGUGUUGCUGCAACCCUGCUGAUGCAAGUAUAGCCGCGUCUGGCUGUUUCGUUUUUCGCGCUGCUGCUGCCCUGCUGGCUACCGCAGCCACCUUGCUGGCUGUUGGUUUGCCGUGCCUUGCUGCUGCCUUGGUCGCUUACCUAGCUCCCUCUAGUCUCCUAAUCCCUUUUAGAAUAUGCUCCCUCUAGUCUCCUAAUCCCUUUUGAUCUUCUCUCCUUUUUCUUUCAACCUUAACCGAUCCUUCCAGAAUGUGGGCUCUCUCAGCAUUUUCUAAAACCUUGGGACAGUAGAAUGAUAGGAUUGGCAGCCCAUAUACAUAUAUAUAGAAUGAUGGAUCAGAUAUUGAACGUUUUAUCAUGGUCUUGGUAGAGGUAGUUUAGGUGAUAUAUUUGGGGAAUGUGUGAAAUAAAUGUCAGGUGGGUCCAAAGUAGUAUUAGGUGGUAUGGUAGGGAUGAUAAAACUUCCAAGAUCAGGACCUUGGUCAAAUCCCAUCUCUCUCUCUAUGACGGUCAAUUGUGAGCCCUGAAGCUUCCAUUGGAAAGACCCUUCACUUACCCUCCAAGCAACAUUCCUCCUUCGGUCUGAAAGAAGUGCAUAGUCGUGCCAUAGCCUAGGCAAUGUUAAAAUCGACUUGAAUGGAGAGUUUGGAAAGUGCAGAGUAUUGUUUAAGUGUUGGUGAGGGCUUAUGGGGUUUCCUCACCCCAAACACUGGAUGAGAGUGACGAGGUGACUCUCGUCAUGGUAAUAUUGUUGUGCCCAAAACUAAUUACGGAUCGACACACAACAAAAGACAAUAAAGAUUUUACGUGAUUUCGGGUCAACGAUGCCUACGUUCCACAGAGAGGAAAUCAACAAUUCACUAUCGAACGAAGUGAUAAUCAACGGAGGAGUGACUCGAUCUCUCAACUCACACCCUCUAUCCACAAUCUCUGUUGUUUGCUCUCAAUCUCUACCUCACAGCAAUCUGCUCUCAGCCACAACACCAACGCACGUAGAAAAUCUAAGCACACUACCCUCCCUUUAGACCAAGGGAAGGAGGUGGUGGACUCCUACCCGAAUACUCUAAUCAUUAUCCUAAUAAUCUAGGAAAACAAAAAGAUAAAGACUCUCAAAGAGUUCUAGAUAACUCGAGAGUUUCACCGUCGCAUAAACACUCCUUAUGAACUCCAAACUGGGCUGAGCUUGGAUACGGACUUGGACUCAUCCAAAUGGGCUUGGGACUCACCAAUGGGCUGGACCAACAAUCUCCCCCUCCAGGCCCAUGGAGGGUAAUCUGACGUUCUUCAAGUUGUCCUUCAUGACAGCUUUUGAUCCAGCUCCCCCAUAAGACUGUAAGACAGCAUCGAGAUACAUUAGCCUCAUCAACGGGCUUACUCCACUUCCCACCGAGUGUAGCACCUCCAACACAAGUGCCUGUGCUUGCACCUUCUCACGAGGUGCCCUGUACACCCCCGCCACUGGUGUGAACCACACUCCCACCGGGGGGUACGCCACAAAGUAGUCACUUGCGAGUUAUCGUGCUCAUCCGUUCUCUUCCGAUGUGCACACAACUGGGAGAGUAUCAACGCCAUGAUCAAAUCGAGAGCAAAAGAAGACCGCUUCGGCGUCUCCGCGCACAUUCGCUGUACAGCCUUUCAAAAUCGACUUGGGUCUCUUCCUCUGAACCUUCUCUAUGGACAUCCUUGCACUGUUGACACUACCUGUGUCUGGCCAAACUUCCGUACCAUGUCCAAAGCAUCUCCCUACGCUCUUAUACCACUCUGCGCUCCUCCAGGUACCAUUACGGAUCCCCCAAGUACCCCUGCGCUUGCUUUGCGUACCGCUGUGCAACGUUUUGCUUCCCGUGUCCCUCUUCUCGCUAAUACCACUAGACCCAUGUCGGACAGUAGGCUCCCCUUGUCUGGACACUCCCCUCCAAGCGUAUAGCCCGCCAGUCUCUUCCCCACAGUAUCUCCUUGUUCCUUUGGAAACUCUGAGAGUUCCUCCACUAUCUCAACCUGCAUCCCUUUGAAUCUAGCAUCCCAAUAUAAAUCAAAUUUUUCCGUAGAUAGGAACAUGCCUUACCUCAUCACGUCACCGACCUCCUGUCCUGCCAUGCGGAACGCGGACUGAUUCCUCUACCACAACUCUGUCUAGACGUGUUGUUUGCCAUCCCAUAACGUCCCUCGCAUGGUGCAUAUUUAAAAGGAACACCUCUUUAUCUCUACAUAAGUGGUCAGUACUGUCCUGAAUUCAAUACCCAAUCUGACUUUCCAUCAUCCGAGACUGCUAGGAUAACGUCAAACUCAUCCUCCAUCCACAGCUUCACUGCUGUCACUAUUGUAUCUGAAGACUGAUCCUGUGCUUUAUACUUUGGACAUCCUCUUUUAUAUGCCCCUCCUGGGGGUCGCAAUAAAAGCACCUAACAGUGCGAUCUCUCUCCUGUGACCUCCACCGUCUUUUUCCAGUACCCCUAUGAGCUCCUUCCUUGACCUCGACCCUUCCACCGUCCUUUUCCCUUUUCCUCCACUAGCGUCAAGCGCAUCCCUUUGGAAUCUCUCAUCCCAAUAUAAAUCAAAUUUUUCCGAGAUUAGGAACAUGCCUUACUCAGUCAACAUCACCGGACCUCCCGUCUGCCAUGCGGACCGAACUGAUCCUCUACCAACAACUCUGGCUAGACGUUGUUUGCCAUCCUAUCCGUCCUCGCAUUGUGCAUAUUUAGAUAACACCUCUUGUAUCUCUACAUAGGUGGUAAGCACUGCCUUAUACAAUCCCCAUCUGACUUUCCAAUCAUCCGAUGCUGCUAGGAUAACAGUCAAACCUCAUCUUAUCCACAGCUAUCAUGCUGUCCACUAUUGUAUCUGAAGACUGAUCCUGUGCUUUAUCUUGGACAAUCCCUCUUGAAUAUGCCCUGCCUGGUCGGCAAUAAAAGCAACCUAACACUUGCAUCUCUCCGCCUGUGACCGCCACCGUCCUUUUCAGUACCCCUAUGAUGAUCUCUUCCUUGACCUCGGCCUCUUUCCCUGGCUUCCUCUGAGACUAGGGCCUGCGACUCACUCUGAUCUUUCGUCCCAUCUCUCUCCUCCUGAGCCUCUUCAUUGACAGGGCAUCCUGACCUACUCGUAGUCAACUUCCCAAUUCGGCGCUAAAUUGCGUGAGAGAAACACCAAUGUCUCCCAACUCUCUGGCAAGGAACUCAAAGCAAUAAGGCUUGCAUCUCGUCGCAAACUGUAUGUCAACACUGUCAACUGAUUUACCAAUUAUUGUGUCUCAAAAUAAUUACUGAUUCACACAUACACACAAAAACAAUCAAAAUUUACGUGGUUCGGCCAACGAUGCCUACGUCCAACGGAGAGAAUCAACAAUCCACUAUCGAACGAAUGGAUUAUAACGGAGGAGACAUCGAUCUCUCACUCACCCCUCGUCUCACAAUCUCUCCUGUCGUGGCUUUCAACUCACCUUCACAGCAAUCUGCCUCAGCCCCAACACACGCACGUAGAAACUAGCACCCUCCCCUCCCUUUUAUAAACGAAAAAAAAAACAAGGCAGGAGUGGUGGACUCCUACCAGAAUACCUAAUCAUUAUCGUAAUCUAUCUAUGAAAACAAAAGAUAAAGACUCUCCAAGGUUCUAGAUAAAACUCGAGAGUUUUCACCGUCACAGGACACUCCAUAUGACUCCAACUGGGCUUGGGCUUGGCUACUGGACUUGGACUCAUCCAACUGGUCUUGACCUCCUCCAAAUGGGCUUGGACUCAUCCAAUGGGCUGUACUCAACAAUAUGUGGCCCUCCAAUGAAGGUAGUCUCACAUUUUCAUUAUUUUCACACAAGCAUUGAAGAGCUAGAGUUAGAGUGCUCGUUCAUUAGGAGACUCCGGGAGCUCAUCAAGGGACUCUCUUGGAGGCCUUGGCUCCUUGAGGGAAGUUUCUUCGCGAGGGGAGCCUCCUCUGAGUUGAUAUACCACACAAUAAUAAAUUAAUUAAGGAAAAUGAAUAUGAAUGGAUACGGGUAAUCUGAAAUUUUCUAGAAAAGAAGACACUGUUGAUAAGUUGUUUAAAGAUGGAUAUAUGCAACAACAAGAAUAUCGGCAGAUGAGACCGUGGCCCAUGUUUUCCGUUUUUUUUUUAAUGUUUUUACACUUGGACGCUUGGGGUUUACAUAUUUAGACAUUCUUACGAAAUUUAUGAGACACGUCGGGAACACUCCCAUGACACACUGAAGAUAGGUGCAAUCUUUUCAAUUGUUUUGUUGGAGCAUUUUUGUGAAUGAUGUAAUGACAUGUGAGAAUGAUGGAAUACAUAGUAUUUUUAUUUUAUUUAAUAGUGAUUUCAUAUUUUAAUUGAAUUUAACACAUCAAGCAAUUAAUAUAUAUAUUCACAAUAUUUCAUAUCCUCCAUAUUUUUGGAAAUUUUCUAGUUGGAGUGCUGGUGUCGAGUUGAUGUCGUGUCGCAUUUCUUGUUUGGUGCUACUUGAGUUGACAUAUGCAAACCCGUCAAAGUUAUAUGUCCCUUUGUUUGCCUGAGAAAGACAACAUAGAAAGUAUACAGAAACACAAAAAAAUUAUCGUCCUUUUAAUUCCCGAAGGAAAUCAAGGAACCUAGGAUACAAAAAUGUUAAAACAAGUUCACAAAGGGAAGCAUUAUUAUUUUUUUUCCUGCCUCGUUUUCUUCAAACAUCAAUUUGUGCUUGUUUCAGUGAGACCAUUGCGACUUGGAGGUGGAACAUGAGGCAGACAUAGUAGGUUAAUUGGAUAUGGCAGAAAUCUACAGUCUAUAGGAGUAUCUUAGUUUUGGAGUCUGGACACUUAUCCUUCACUAUUUGAAUGACAUACUACUUCUUUCUCCAGUUGGCACGAUAUUCUUCAUUGGCACAUCCUAAUUUCUACAAGUUUCGUAGUCUUCUUAAUACCUUAAAAUUAUUCAAUCGUGGUCUACAACCUAUUUUUUUAGCUUGAUUGACAUUUAACUCGUUCAUCUUUACAUUGUCCAAAUUCCAAAACUGCCAACACACGACGUUAACGAGUAUAAUGGAAUUGCUUGCUAAACAUAUAGUUGCUAACAUGGCAUUCACUCAUGGUCCCUUAAGUGUUGCACAAAUUCUUGGCUUACAAACACAAAAGGGAUAUCUUGAAGGUAUUGCAACGGUGAUAUGCAACCCAAUUGAAGCUACUUUACUACAGAAACAGAUCAGCUAGUGACAAACGCCCUCAAGCAGUGUGUUGCACUAAAAGUUUUCUCGAAGUGUCAACAUUUAUUAUGUUGAGAGCUGUUGGAUAACUUUAUUCUACAUUCACAAUGUCAAGAAGAACAAGCUGAAUGUCCAUCGACAUGAAAUACUGGUUUUGUGCAAUAAAUCACAAGCUCCUGUCAAGGUGCAGAGAGGAUUCUGAAAUAUUUAAUGAUUGGAUGUAUUUCCAAAAGUUGCCAACAUAGAAGAAGACAUCAUUAUAAAAAAGAAAAGCAAAAAAAAGACACGGUGGCGCUACUCUUAAGAUGAUGAUGUCCCAACUAAAUUAUAUCUUUUACACAACCUAAUCCUAUUGCUGCAAAUGUUACACCCAAGACCAAGC